rnacentral:lncRNA from 1 species
GGGAUGGUGUGUGGAUCCUCACACCCCAGUGCAGAACCAGAGCCUCGAUCCAGCUCAGCACCGCAGCACAGAGCUGCUAAGAGGCAUCGCUUGGGAUGGAAAUGUACAGUGUGAUGGAUCUGACACUGCCAAAAUAAACACAAUUGCAUCUUGAUGAGCAGAACUGGAGUACACAGGCUGCCCUGGGUCAGCACUGAGCUGCAACAGAAGAGCUGGGAAGAAAAACAUCGUUCCUUGCUUGAAUAACCACCUGACGUGUAUUUGGUACUUAGUGCUGCAAAGAAACACUGUGUGAAGUACUGCUGGUAACACUGGGUCCACGUGAGCGUGUCUCAAGCUGAAUGUUAAAU